rnacentral:rRNA from 1 species
CGAGCGAGAAGACGUAGCAAUACGUUUGUAAAGCGGCGAACGGGUGAGGAAUACAUGGGUAACCUACCCUUGAGUGGGGAAUAACUAGCCGAAAGGUUAGCUAAUACCGCGUACGCUUCCUGGACUUCGGUUCAGGGAGGAAAGCGCUACCGUGGGUAGCGCGCUCUUGGAUGGGCUCAUGUCCUAUCAGCUUGUUGGUGAGGUAACGGCUCACCAAGGCUUCGACGGGUAGCUGGUCUGAGAGGACGAUCAGCCACACUGGCACUGCGACACGGGCCAGACUCCUACGGGAGGCAGCAGUAAGGAAUAUUGCGCAAUGGGCGAAAGCCUGACGCAGCGACGCCGCGUGGGGGAUGAAGGUCUUCGGAUUGUAAACCCCUUUCGGGAGGGGAGAUGGAAUGGGGUAACCCAUUCGGACGGUACCUCCAGAAGCAGCCACGGCUAACUUCGUGCCAGCAGCCGCGGUAAUACGAAGGUGGCAAGCGUUAUUCGGAUUUACUGGGCGUACAGGGAGCGUAGGCGGUUCGGUAAGCCCUUUGUGAAAUCUCCAGGCUUAACCUGGAAAAGUCGGAGGGGACUGCCGGGCUAGAGGACGGGAGAGGAGCGCGGAAUUCCCGGUGUAGCGGUGAAAUGCGUAGAGAUCGGGAGGAAGGCCGGUGGCGAAGGCGGCGCUCUGGAACGUUUCUGACGCUGAGGCUCG